GUCUCCUUUUUCUAAUCAGUGAAACUAAUCUUCCCGUGAAGAAGCGGGAAUAUCCCCAUAAGACGAGAAGACCCCAUGGAGCUUCAAACCCAAUUACACCCCUAACCCCUAUAACUACUUAACCCUUAGGAUUCUGUAUUAUUGGUUUUAGGUUGGGGCGACCACGGAGUACAACAAAACCUCCACAAUGAACGGAACUACUUCCUCAUCUGAGAGCUACACCUCUAAGAAUUAAAAUAUUAACAUAAAAUGAUCCAUUUUUGAUCAAUGAACCAAGUUACCCUGGGGAUAACAGCGCAAUCCAUUUCAAGAGCCCCUAUCGACAAAUGGG
rnacentral:rRNA from 1 species